GGUGAGUAACACGUAAGUAACCUGCCUUUAAGACGAGGAUAACAACCGGAAGGUUACUAAGACUGGAUAGGAAACAAAAAGGCAUCUUUUUGUUUUUAAAAGACCUUCUUACGAAGGUAUGCUUAAAGAGGGGCUUGCGCCACAUUAGUUAGUUGGUAGAGUAAAAGCCUACCAAGACGAUGAUGUGUAGCUGGACUGAGAGGUUGAACAGCCACAUUGGGACUGAGACACGGCCCAAACUCCUACGGGAGGCAGCAGUAGGGAAUUUUCGGCAAUGGAGGAAACUCUGACCGAGCAACGCCGCGUGAACGAUGAAGUAUUUCGGUAUGUAAAGUUCUUUUAUUGAAGAAGAAAAAGUAGUGGAAAAACUAUAUUGACGUUAUUCAAUGAAUAAGCCCCGGCUAACUAUGUGCCAGCAGCCGCGGUAAGACAUAGGGGGCGAGCGUUAUCCGGAAUUAUUGGGCGUAAAGGGUGCGUAGGCUGUUAGAUAAGUCUAUAAUUUAAUUUCAGUGCUUAACGCUGUCUUGUUAUAGAAACUGUCUUGACUAGAGUGAGAUAGAGGCAAGCGGAAUUCCAUGUGUAGCGGUAAAAUGUGUAAAUAUAUGGAGGAACACCAGAAGCGUAGGCGGCUUGCUGGGUCUUUACUGACGCUGAGGCACGAAAGCGUGGGUAGCAAACAGGAUUAGAUACCCUGGUAGUCCACGCCGUAAACGAUGAGUAGUGAGUGUUGUCGUAUUUUCUCGGUACUGAAGUUAACACAUUAAGUACUCCGCCUGAGUAGUACGCCCGCAAGUAUGAAACUAAAAGGAAUUGACGGGACUCCGCACAAGCGGUGGAUCAUGUUGUUUAAUUCGAAGAUACACGAAAAAUCUUACCAGGUCUUGACAUACUCUGCAAAGCUAUAGAAAUAUAGCUCACUUUAUCAGGGAUACAAGUGGUGCAUGGUGGUUGUCAGCUCGUGUCGUGAGAAGUUAGGUUAAGUCCUAAAACGAAGGCAACCCCCCUUGUUAAUUGCCAGCACAUAAUGGUGGGGGGUUUAACGGGAAUGCCAAUUAAACAAAGGAGGAAGGGGGGGGGUACGUCAAAUCAUCAUGCCCCUUAUGAUCUGGGCUACAAACGUGAUACAAUGGCUGUGACAAAGAGUAGCUGAAACGCGAGUUUUUAGCCAAUCUCAAAAAAGCAGUCUCAGUUCGGAUUGAAGUCUGUAACUCGACUUCAUGAAGUUGGAAUCGCUAGUAAUCGCGAAUCAGCAUGUCGCGGUGAAUACGUUCUCGGGGUUUGUACACACCGCCCGUCAAACCACGAAAGUUAGCAAUGCCCGAAAGCAGUAGCUUAACUUCGCAAGAAGAG
rnacentral:rRNA from 1 species